rfam:Astyanax mexicanus Tnplaced_Scaffold2766, whole genome shotgun sequence.
GCAACGGCUCUUUUAAGAGCCAAACAAUUAUUUUACAAAAGAUCA